AGCUCCAAUAGCGUAUAUUAAAGUUGUUGCGGUUAAAAAGCUCGUAGUUGGAUCUCGGUUUCGGGCGGAUGGUUCAGAUUUUCGUCUGUUACUGUCUGCCCGGACGAUUUUGUUGGUUCGUUCGUGGUUCUCUUAACCGAGUGCCACGGGUGGCCAGCACGUUUACUUUGAAAAAAUUGGAGUGCUCAAAGCAGGCGCUACAGCCUGAACAUUCGUGCAUGGAAUAAUGGAAUAGGAUCUCGGUUCUAUUUCGUUGGCUUUCGGAGUCGAGGUAAUGAUUAAUAGGAACAGACGGGGGCAUUCGUACUGCGACGUUAGAGGUGAAAUUCUUGGAUCGUCGCAAGACGAACUACUGCGAAAGCAUUUGCCAAGAAUGUUUUCA
rnacentral:rRNA from 1 species